rnacentral:rRNA from 1 species
AUUGAACGCUGGCGGCAUGCCUUACACAUGCAAGUCGAACGGCAGCACGGGAGCAAUCCUGGUGGCGAGUGGCGAACGGGUGAGUAAUAUAUCGGAACGUGCCCAGUCGUGGGGAUAACGUAGCGAAAGCUACGCUAAUACCGCAUACGAUCUAUGGAUGAAAGUGGGGGAUCGCAAGACCUCGCGCGAUUGGAGCGGCCGAUAUCAGAUUAGGUAGUUGGUGAGGUAAAGGCUCACCAAGCCGACGAUCUGUAGCUGGUCUGAGAGGACGACCAGCCACACUGGGACUGAGACACGGCCCAGACUCCUACGGGAGGCAGCAGUGGGGAAUUUUUGGACAAUGGGCGCAAGCCUGAUCCAGCAAUGCCGCGUGCAGGAUGAAGGCCUUCGG